GUAACGAGCCGCACACCUCUGCCGCAAAGCCGGACAUCCUUCCCCAGCAUGCCAUGAAAGAGCCGCGGUGAACACCUGACAGCCGGCAUGCAGCAGUGGCUGGAGAGGUGCACGGAGGACACCCCCAAGUAGAGACUCACAUGGAUGUCCUGCCUGAGUGUCCCGCCGAACUACACCUGCAUACUAUGGGACUACACAGGCAAGAUCCAGCACCCAUGAUGAACUGACCACAGGCCCCCGAGGUGACCAUGUAACUUCCCACUGCAAAGUAGCAGCUCUGUCCUUAAAUCUUUUACUCCCACUAGCCACUUGACAGGAUGGAAUGGUGGCCUGGUGCCAUUAGUAUUAAAUCAUAAUGUGGCUGCUAAAAGUUAGACACCUGCAGGAUAGUGUGCCCUUAGUUUAACUCAGCUAGACCGGUGAGCCUCGGUUAGCUACACCAUGCUAAAUUGUUUUAAAGUAUUCUAUUCUGUGAAAAGCGCCCCACUACUCUCUGCAACAGGGCCUGGUCUCCCAGUGGCAAUAACAGUUUGUACCUUUCUAAGGUUUCACUAGCCUAUUAUAAUAACCUGUAACAACGCAAGCUCCUAGCAAACCAUGUCUUAGACCCGAUCUUAGUGAUGCUAAACGGUUGGCCAUCUCAACAAGGUAUAAAAUGCAUGUCUGUAUACGCUUGCGCUGCGACUAAUUCUUGUUUUAAGUUUUAAACCAAAAAAUGUAUGCAGCUACUCAUGACAUACUGAGUUUAUACUUGAAGCCUGUAACCAUUCAUAAUGCAACUUAAAUCUAUGUCAAUGUUACGCAAUGUUUGUUUUCACUGCACUCCAAAAAUAAA